GACGAACGCUGGCGGCGUGCUUAACACAUGCAAGUCGAACGGAAAGGCCCUGCUUUUGUGGGGUGCUCGAGUGGCGAACGGGUGAGUAACACGUGAGUAACCUGCCCUUGACUUUGGGAUAACUUCAGGAAACUGGGGCUAAUACCGGAUAGGAGCUCCUGCUGCAUGGUGGGGGUUGGAAAGUUUCGGCGGUUGGGGAUGGACUCGCGGCUUAUCAGCUUGUUGGUGGGGUAGUGGCUUACCAAGGCUUUGACGGGUAGCCGGCCCGAGAGGGUGACCGGCCAUAUUGGGACUGAGAUACGGCCCAGACUCCUACGGGAGGCAGCAGUGGGGAAUAUUGCACAAUGGGCGGAAGCCUGAUGCAGCAACGCCGCGUGCGGGAUGACGGCCUUCGGGUUGUAAACCGCUUUCGCCUGUGACGAAGCGUGAGUGACGGUAAUGGGUAAAGAAGCACCGGCUAACUACGUG
rnacentral:rRNA from 1 species